rnacentral:rRNA from 1 species
UACAGAGGGUGCAAGCGUUGUUCGAAAUCACUGGGCGUAAAGGGUACGUAGGCGGCGAAGUGUGUCUGAUGUGAAAUACCUUGGCUUAACCAAGGAAGUGCAUUGGAAACUACUUUGCUAGAGUAUGAGAGAGGAUGGCGGAAUUCCCAGAGUAGAGGUGAAAUUCGUAGAUACUGGGAGGAACACCUGAGGCGAAGGCGGCCAUCUGGAUCAUUACUGACGCUGAGGUACGAAAGCAUGGGUAGCAAACAGG